CCUACGGGAGGCAGCAGUGAGGAAUAUUGGUCAAUGGGCGCGAGCCUGAACCAGCCAAGCCGCGUGAAGGAUGACUGCCCUACGGGUUGUAAACUUCUUUUAUAAAGGAAUAAAGUGAGGCACGUGUGCCUUUUUGUAUGUACUUUAUGAAUAAGGAUCGGCUAACUCCGUGCCAGCAGCCGCGGUAAUACGGAGGAUCCGAGCGUUAUCCGGAUUUAUUGGGUUUAAAGGGCGCGUAGAUGGGUUGUUAAGUCAGUUGUGAAAGUUUGCGGCUCAACCGUAGAAUUGCAGUUGAUACUGGCAGGCUUGAGUACAGUAGAGGUAGGCGGAAUUCGUGGUGUAGCGGUGAAAUGCUUAGAUAUCACGAAGAACUCCGAUUGCGAAGGCAGCUUACUAGACUGCCACUGACAUUGAGGCUCGAAAGUGUGGGUAUCAAACAGGAUUAGAUACCCUGGUAGUC
rnacentral:rRNA from 1 species